rnacentral:rRNA from 1 species
UACGAAGGGGGCUAGCGUUGCUCGGAAUGACUGGGCGUAAAGGGCGCGUAGGCGGUCAGCACAAGUCAGUUGUGAAAUCUCCGGGCUUAACUCGGAAAGGUCAACUGAUACUGUGCGACUAGAGUGCGGAAGGGGCAACUGGAAUUCUCGGUGUAGCGGUGAAAUGCGUAGAUAUCGAGAGGAACACCUGCGGCGAAGGCGGGUUGCUGGGCCGACACUGACGCUGAUGCGCGAAAGCCAGGGGAGCGAACGGG